rnacentral:lncRNA from 1 species
UGAACAGCUGUAAUGAAAUAAUCAGAAACAACCAGAUGGAAUUGGAGCCAGUCACCAUGGGUAUUUGAGAAGUGCAUACUGUUUGGGGAGACUGAAUAUGUACUGAUCCAAUCUAAAAUGGAGCAGAUGGCAAAGCAAACAGCGUCCUCCUGAAAAGUCUGCGUGACUAUUUCUUUCCUUCAAAAAGCAGAAAGAAAAAAAAUGUGUGGUGUUAUAUCUCAG